GACAGAGGGUGCAAACGUUGCUCGGAAUCACUGGGCGUAAAGGGCGUGUAGGCGGGAAGGAAAGUCGAGUGUGAAAUCCCCGAGCUUAACUUGGGAAUUGCGCUCGAAACUGCGGAGCUGGAGUGUGGCAGAGGAAGGUGGAAUUCCACGUGUAGCGGUGAAAUGCGUAGAGAUGUGGAGGAACACCGAUGGCGAAGGCAGCCUUCUGGGCCAACACUGACGCUCAUGCACGAAAGCGUGGGGAGCAAACAGG
rnacentral:rRNA from 1 species